rnacentral:rRNA from 1 species
UAUCUCUGUAGAGUCUGCAUAUCAAUAAGCGGAGGAAAAGAAACUAACAAGGAUUCCCUUAGUAACGGCGAGUGAAGCGGGAAGAGCUCAAAUUUGAAAUCUUCAAGGUUCUACCUUGACGAAUUGUAGUUUAAAGAAGUGUUUUCUGUUAGAUGAGUAGCAAAAGUUCCUUGGAAUGGGACAUCAUAGAGGGUGAGAAUCCCGUAUUUGGUUAUUCAUUCUAGCUUUGUGAUACACUUUCAAAGAGUCGGAUUGUUUGGGAAUGCAGUCCAAAAUAGGUGGUAAAUUUCAUCUAAAGCUAAAUAUUGGCGAGAGACCGAUAGCGAACAAGUACCGUGAGGGAAAGAUGAAAAGAACUUUGAAAAGAGAGUUAAACAGUACGUGAAAUUGUCAAAAGGGAAGCGUUUGACACCAGUGUUGUUUUUCCGAAAAUCAAUUACGAAUGGCUUGAUUUUGUGUUGUAUUGACCUUAUCAGCUUUCUUCACUUUUUUCGAGUCUUUCUUAAUGCACUUUUCGGUUAACAAGUCAACAUCAAUUUCUUUUGUUGUAAAAGAGUAUUCGGAAGGUGGCUUUCUUUUCGGAGAAAGUGUUUAUAGCCCUAUACUUCUACAAUCGGAGAGAUUGAGGUCUGCAGCGUAGAUCCUUCGGGGUUAGAUACACUUGUGCUAAGUUGUAGCUUUUCAUAGACAACUUGUUGACUAUGUUUAGUCAUGCGGCUUACUCGCUUGUGCUAUUUUACCUACGCUUAGGAUGUUGACUGAUAUGUAGUCGU